rnacentral:lncRNA from 1 species
UGAUACCUAUCCCGAAGAUGAGCGCAUCAAGGGACGUCACGGGGGUUACGACCAUUCGACCUAUCAGUGAGUGGGUAGUUAUUUUCUGUUAUUACCUAUAUACUACUGAAUUUCCCAGAAAUUGAAUUUAAAUAAAAGUAUGUUUUUAAAAUGCCAUGCAUGCAUAUUAUGAAUUAUAUGAAUUAGUAAUUGAUGCAUAUAUAUAUGAAAUGGUGCUGUGGACGCACAUGUGAGUAUCAUGUGAGUUUUAUGUUAUUCAUACGAUUUAUUGUAAUGUGAAUUGUGUUGAGAGCUCAUAACCUGCACCCCUAGUAUUAGUGCUUAUAAUAUUCACCGCACCGCACGCUCACCUUGGAUCCAAGU